rnacentral:rRNA from 1 species
UACGCCCUGAGAAGGGGAAAGAUUUAUUGAAGAGAGAUGAGCCCGCGUUAGAUUAGCUAGUUGGUGGGGUAAAUGCCUACCAAGGCUACGAUCUAUAGCUGGUCUGAGAGGACGAUCAGCCACACUGGGACUGAGACACGGCCCAGACUCCUACGGGAGGCAGCAGUGGGGAAUAUUGNACAAUGGGGGCAACCCUGAUCCAGCCAUGCCGCGUGAGUGAAGAAGGCCUUAGGGUUGUAAAGCUCUUUCGCCGGAGAAGAUAAUGACGGUAUCCCGGAGAAGAAGUCCCGGCUAACUUCGUGCCAGCAGCCGCNGUAAUACGAACGGGGCGAGCGUUGUUCGGAAUAACUGGGCGUAAAGGGCGCGUAGGCGGGUNU